AGACGUCUACAUUAGAUACCCCUGUAGUCCCAGCCGUAAACGAUGUGCGUUAGGUGUAUCGACGACCACGAGUUGUCGAGGUGCCGAAGGGAAACCGUGAAACGUACCGCCUGGGAAGUACGGUCGCAAGGCUGAGACUUAAAGGAAUUGGCGGGGAGCACCACAACAGGUGGAGCCUGCGGUUUAAUUGGACUCAACGCCGGGAAUCUCACCGGAUAGGACAGCGGAAUGAUUGCCGGGCUGAAGACUCUGCAUGACUAGCUG
rnacentral:rRNA from 1 species